rnacentral:lncRNA from 1 species
AUCUUUUAUAAAUUAGAUGAAUUUCUAGCAAGUUUCUACGAUAUUCUUUAUCAUUUGACAAAAUACUAUGCAUCUGAAUUAAAUUGUUUACUAUUUGAAAAAGCGCGCCUUCUUUUACUUUAAUUUACUUCCCUUUAUUUCACAUAGCAACACAAAUUAAAAACUGCCAAUCUUUGCUGCAUAUCAAUUUUUUCCACCGAUAAAAAUAUAUAUCAUGCAACAUAAUCAACUUUACAAAUUGGGAGAAAAUCAAGGUGUUCCGACCAUUGGAUAGUAUUUAAAAAAAUAAUGAAAGGAUGGCAUGAUUACAAGUUUGAACCCUAAC